CCUACGGGAGGCAGCAGUGAGGAAUAUUGGUCAAUGGGCGAGAGCCUGAACCAGCCAAGUCGCGUGAGGGAAGACGGUCCUAUGGAUUGUAAACCUCUUUUGCCGGGGAGCAAAACGCGGUACGUGUACCGCCUCGAGCGUACCCGGAGAACAAGCAUCGGCUAACUCCGUGCCAGCAGCCGCGGGACUACGGAGGAUGCGAGCGUUAUCCGGAUGUAUUGGGUUUAAAGGGUGCGCAGGCGGCGAGUUCAGUCAGCGGUAAAAUUUCGGGGCUCAACCCCGACAAGCCGUUGAACCGGGCGGGCUAGAGUGGGCGAGAAGUAUGCGGAAUGCGUGGUGUAGCGGUGAAAUGCAUAG
rnacentral:rRNA from 1 species